rnacentral:rRNA from 1 species
AGUGAACGCUGGCGGCAGGCCUAAUACAUGCAAGUCGAACGGCAGCACAGCAGAGCUUGCUCUGUGGGUGGCGAGUGGCGGACGGGUGAGGAAUACAUGGGAAUCUGCCCAGUCGUGGGGGAUAACGUAGGGAAACUUACGCUAAUACCGCAUGCGCCCUUCGGGGGAAAGCCGGGGACCUUCGGGCCUGGCGCGAUUGGAUGAGCCCAUGUCGGAUUAGCUAGUUGGCGGGGUAAUGGCCCACCAAGGCGACGAUCCGUAGCUGGUCUGAGAGGAUGAUCAGCCACACUGGAACUGAGACACGGUCCAGACUCCUACGGGAGGCAGCAGUAGGGGAUAUUGGACAAUGGGCGCAAGCCUGAUCCAGCCAUGCCGCGUGAGUGAAGAAGGCCCUCGGGUUGUAAAGCUCUUUUGUCCGGAAAGAAAAGCGCCGGGUUAAUACCCUGGUGUCCUGACGGUACCGAACGAAUAAGCACCGGCUAACUUCGUG